AUUGAACGCUGGCGGCAGGCCUAACACAUGCAAGUCGAACGAGUGGCGGACGGGUGAGUAAUUUCUGGGAAACUGCCCGAUGGAGGGGGAUAACUACUGGAAACGGUAGCUAAUAUCGCAUACCAUCGGAUGUGCCCAGAUGUGCUUAGCUUGUAGUUGAGGUAACGGCUCACCUAGGCGACGAUACCUAGCUGGUCUGAGAGGAUGACCAGCCACACUGGAACUGAGACACGGUCCAGACUCCUACGGGAGGCAGCAGUGGGGAAUAUUGCACAAUGGGCGCAAGCCUGAUGCAGCCAUGCCGCGUGUAUGAAGAAGGCCUUCGGGUUGUAAAGUACAUUCAGCGGGGAGGCGUUACCCGAAGAAGAAGCACCGGCUAACUCCGUGCCAGCAGCCGCGGUAAUAC
rnacentral:rRNA from 1 species